UACGGGGGGGGCAAGCGUUGUUCGGAAUUACUGGGCGUAAAGGGCUCGUAGGUUGCCAACUAAGUCAGACGUGAAAUCCCUCAGCUUAACUGGGGAACUGCGUCUGAUACUGGAUGGCUUGAGUUUGGGAGAGGGAUGCGGAAUUCCAGGUGUAGCGGUGAAAUGCGUAGAUAUCUGGAGGAACACCGGUGGCGAGGGCGGCAUCCUGGACCAACACCGACACUGAGGAGCGAAAGCCAGGGGAGCAAACGGG
rnacentral:rRNA from 1 species